GGUGGCAUGGUGCAAUGGUAGCAUAUCCUCAUCUCAGGGGACCCCUUCAAGCUCCCACUUGCUCGUCGUCCUUGGGCGAAGAUGUCAAGUUCAGGACUGGAUCGUGUGUGCUCCCACCUUCAUGAAGAAGAUUCUGGUUCAAAUCCAGAUGCCGCCA